rnacentral:rRNA from 1 species
AUGAACGCUGGCGCGUGCUUAAUACAUGCAAGUCGAACGAAGCACUUUUUGACAGAUCCCUUCGGGGUGAAGAUGAUUGUGACUUAGUGGCGGACGGGUGAGUAACGCGUGGGUAACCUGCCUCAUGCAGGGGGAUAACAGUUAGAAAUGACUGCUAAUACCGCAUAAGCGCACGCUAUCGCAUGAUAGAGUGUGAAAAGAUUUAUCGGCAUGAGAUGGACCCGCGUCUGAUUAGGUAGUUGGUGGGGUAACGGCCUACCAAGCCGACGAUCAGUAGCCGACUUGAGAGAGUGAUCGGCCACAUUGGGACUGAGACACGGCCCAGACUCCUACGGGAGGCAGCAGUAGGGAAUAUUGCACAAUGGGGGAAACCCUGAUGCAAGCGACGCCGCGUGAGUGAAGAAGUAUUUCGGUACGUAAAGCUCUAUCAGCAGGGAAGAUAAUGACGGUACCUGACUAAGAAGCCCCGGCUAACUACGUGCCAGCAGCGGC